rnacentral:rRNA from 1 species
UGGGGAAUAUUGCACAAUGGGCGCAAGCCUGAUGCAGCGACGCCGCGUGAGGGAUGACGGCCUUCGGGUUGUAAACCUCUUUCAGCAGGGAAGAAGCGAAAGUGACGGUACCUGCAGAAGAAGCACCGGCUAACUACGUGCCAGCAGCCGCGGUAAUACGUAGGGCGCAAGCGUUAUCCGGAUUUAUUGGGCGUAAAGAGCUCGUAGGCGGUUUGUCGCGUCUGCCGUGAAAGUCCGAGGCUCAACCUCGGAUCUGCGGUGGGUACGGGCAGACUAGAGUGAUGUAGGGGAGACUGGAAUUCCUGGUGUAGCGGUGAAAUGCGCAGAUAUCAGGAGGAACACCGAUGGCGAAGGCAGGUCUCUGGGCAUUUACUGACGCUGAGGAGCGAAAGCAUGGGGAGCGAACAGGAUUAGAUACCCUGGUAGUCCAUGCCGUAAACGUUGGGCACUAGGUGUGGGGAACAUUCCACGUUUUCCGCGCCGUAGCUAACGCAUUAAGUGCCCCGCCUGGGGAGUACGGCCGCAAGGCUA